rnacentral:rRNA from 1 species
GAUGAACGCUGGCGGCGUGCCUAAUACAUGCAAGUCGAGCGAACGGACGAGAAGCUUGCUUCUCUGAUGUUAGCGGCGGACGGGUGAGUAACACGUGGAUAACCUACCUAUAAGACUGGGAUAACUUCGGGAAACCGGAGCUAAUACCGGAUAAUAUUUUGAACCGCAUGGUUCAAAAGUGAAAGACGGUCUUGCUGUCACUUAUAGAUGGAUCCGCGCUGCAUUAGCUAGUUGGUAAGGUAACGGCUUACCAAGGCAACGAUGCAUAGCCGACCUGAGAGGGUGAUCGGCCACCCUGGAACUGAGCCACGGUCCAUGCUCCUACGGGAGGCCGCAGUAGGGAAUCUUCCGCAAUGGGCGAAAGCCUGACGGAGCAACGCCGCGUGAGUGAUGGAGGUCUUCGGAUCGUAAAACUCUGUUAUUAGGGAAGAACAUAUGUGUAAGUAACUGUGCACAUCUUGACGGUACCUAAUCAGAAAGCCCCGGCUAACUACGUG